UACGAAGGGGGCUAGCGUUGCUCGGAAUCACUGGGCGUAAAGCGCACGUAGGCGGUCUUUUAAGUCGGGGGUGAAAGCCUGUGGCUCAACCACAGAAUUGCCUUCGAUACUGUAGAGCUUGAGACCGGAAGAGGUAAGUGGAACUGCGAGUGUAGAGGUGAAAUUCGUAGAUAUUCGCAAGAACACCAGUGGCGAAGGCGGCUUACUGGUCCGGUUCUGACGCUGAGGCGCGAAAGCGUGGGGAGCAAACAGG
rnacentral:rRNA from 1 species